GGUGAAGUUAGGCCCAUUCCAUUUUACCAACGAAACCCAUUACUUGAGUCGUUUGUUUUCAUAGUAAAUUGAUAGUUCAAUAGGAUAAAGAAGGAGAACAAAGAAGAUAAGUGCUUUGUCUCUCAAAAUAUAAAUUAGGGUUUCCCCUCCCUUUCCUAAACACACCAUUUUUUUCUUUUUAUUUUAAAUAAAUGUUGAUAAUUGUUGACAUGGAGUUAUAUGUCUUAAUCAACACGCCAACUCAACAAAAAUUGCUUGAAAUUUCACCACAUCCAAAUGAUGAUAACAUUGCAAAGAAU
rnacentral:misc_RNA from 1 species